rnacentral:rRNA from 1 species
UCAAGCUACUAAGGGCAUACGGUGGAUGCCUUGGCACUAAGAGCCGAUGAAGGACGCGGUAAGCUGCGAAAAGCCACGGGGAACUGCAAGCAAGUCUUGAUCCGUGGAUGUCCGAAUGGGGAAACCCACCAUCCGUCAUGGGAUGGUAUCCUACGGGAGGGGAACCCGGUGAACUGAAACAUCUAAGUAGCCGGAGGAAGAGAAAUCAAACGAGAUGCCCACAGUAGCGGCGAGCGAAGAGGGCAGAGCCUAAACCAGUCAUCUUCGGAUGGUUGGGGUUACGGACCUGCAUCAACCGAGUCCUACCUAGUCGAAUUACCUGGAAAGGUAAGCCAGAGAGCGUAAGAGCCGCGUAGGUGAAAGGAAGGACGAGGGGGCAGGGAUCCAGAGUACCACGAAGCACGAGGAAUUUUGUGGGAAGUCGGGGGGACCACCCUCCAAGGCUAAACACUUCUUAGUGACCGAUAGCGCAUAGUACCGUGAGGGAAAGGUGAAAAGAACCGCGGGAGCGGAGUGAAAGAGAACCUGAAACCGUAUGUCUACAAGCAGUCGGAGCGCAAGCGACGGCGUGCCUAUUGAAGAAUGAGCCAACGAGUUACGGGCACCAGCGAGGUUAAGCAGGAAAUGCGGAGCCGGAGCGAAAGCGAGUCUAAACAGGGCGAAUAGUUGGUGUUCGUAGACCCGAAACUGUAGUGAUCUACCCAUGAUCAGGUUGAAGCGCAGGUAAAAAUGCGUGGAGGACCGAACCGGUGAGCGUUGAAAAGCUUUCGGAUGAAUCGUGGGUAGCGGUGAAAUUCCAAUCGAACGCAGAGAUAGCUGGUUCUCCUCGAAAUAGCUUUAGGGCUAGCCUCAAGCAGUAAGCAUAGGCGGUAGAGCACUGAUCGGGAUAGGGUCCGUAAAGGAUACCGAACCCUGUCAAACUACGAAUGGUUAUGCUGCAGAGCUUGGGAGUCAGACUACGAGAGAUAAGUCCCGUUGUCAAAAGGGAAACAGCCCAGACCGUCAGCUAAGGUCCCCAAUGCCAUACUAAGUGGAAAAGGAUGUGGGGUCUCAUAAACAACCAGGAUGUUGGCUCAGAAGCAGCCACCAUUUAAAGAGUGCGUAAUAGCUCACUGGUCGAGAGGCCCUGCGCCGAAGAUUCCCGGGGCUAAAGUAUGGAACCGAAGCUACGGAUGCGGUACUUGUACCGCGUGGUAGAGGAGCGUUCCCAUUGGGUUGAAGUCGUCCUGGAAGGGACGGUGGACUGGUGGGAAGUGAGAAUGUUGGCAUGAGUAGCGAAAAGAUAGGUGAGAAUCCUAUCCACCGAAAGCAUAAGGAUUCCUGAGCAACGAUCGUCGUCUCAGGGUAAGUCGGGACCUAAUCCGAGGCAUGGAGCGUAGGAGAUGGACAACUGGUUGAUAUUCCAGUACCGGCAGCAAUCGUUUGAACGAUGGAGUGACGCAGGAAGGCAGGUCCGCGCGAGAAUGGUAGAUCGCGUACAAGCGUGCAGGCUGGUGCACAGGCAAAUCCGUGUACUGAGGCUGAGGCGUGAUGUGGAGGGAACUUGUUCCCGAAGGGAUUGAGCCUACGCUGCCGAGAAAAGCUUCUAGUGAGAAAGCUGCCGCCCGUACCGUAAACCGACACAGGUAUGCGGGGAGAGAAUCCUAAGGUGCGCGGGAGAACCCUCGUUAAGGAACUCGGCAAAAUGUACCCGUAACUUCGGGAUAAGGGUAGCCACAGUGGUGAAGGGACUUGCUCCUGGAGCCUAGUGUGGUCGCAGAGAAGAGGCCCAAGCGACUGUUAACCAGAAACACAGGUGCCUGCGAAAGAGAAAUCUGAUGUAUAGGUGCUGACACCUGCCCAGUGCUGGAAGGUUAAAGAAGGAUGUCCGGGUUCGACCCAAAGCAUUUGACUGAAGCCCCAGUGAACGGCGGCCGUAACUAUAACGGUCCUAAGGUAGCGAAAUUCCUUGUCGGGU